rnacentral:rRNA from 1 species
UGGGGAAUUUUGGACAAUGGGGGCAACCCUGAUCCAGCCAUGCCGCGUGAGUGAAGAAGGCCUUCGGGUUGUAAAGCUCUUUCGGCCGGAACGAAAUCGCAUCCUUUAAUACGGGGUGUGGAUGACGGUACCGGAAGAAGAAGCACCGGCUAACUACGUGCCAGCAGCCGCGGUAAUACGUAGGGUGCGAGCGUUAAUCGGAAUUACUGGGCGUAAAGCGUGCGCAGGCGGUUCGCUAAGACAGGUGUGAAAUCCCCGGGCUUAACCUGGGAAUGGCGCUUGUGACUGGCGGGCUGGAGUACGGCAGAGGGAGGUGGAAUUCCACGUGUAGCAGUGAAAUGCGUAGAGAU